rnacentral:rRNA from 1 species
UGCGUAGGCGGUUUACUAAGUCAGAUGUGAAAGCCCCGGGCUUAACCUGGGAACUGCAUUUGAUACUGGUAGGCUAGAGUAUGAUAGAGGGGGGUAGAAUUCCUGGUGUAGCGGUGAAAUGCGUAGAUAUCAGGAGGAAUACCAGUGGCGAAGGCGGCCCCCUGGAUCAAUACUGACGCUGAGGUACGGAAGCGUGGGUAGCGAACA